CCUACGGGUGGCAGCAGUGGGGAAUUUUGGACAAUGGGGGCAACCCUGAUCCAGCCAUGCCGCGUGAGUGAAGAAGGCCUUCGGGUUGUAAAGCUCUUUCGGACGGAACGAAAUUGCCCUGGAUAACACCUGGGGUAGAUGACGGUACCGUAAGAAGAAGCACCGGCUAACUACGUGCCAGCAGCCGCGGUAAUACGUAGGGUGCGAGCGUUAAUCGGAAUUACUGGGCGUAAAGCGUGCGCAGGCGGUUUCGUAAGCUGGAGGUGAAAUCCCCGGGCUUAACCUGGGAACGGCCUUCAGGACUGCGAGGCUUGAGUACGGCAGAGGGAGGUAGAAUUCCGCGUGUAGCAGUGAAAUGCGUAGAUAUGCGGAGGAACACCGAUGGCGAAGGCAGCCUCCUGGGCCGAUACUGACGCUCAUGCACGAAAGCGUGGGGAGCAAACAGGAUUAGAUACCCGAGUAGUC
rnacentral:rRNA from 1 species